AUGUGGUUGUUGAGCACUUUCUUCCUGGCAACUCUUUUUACUUGUGGCUCUGCACAAGACUUACAGCAAGCCCCUAUAUCUAUCACCAAGCCAGAAGGUAAAACAGUGCUAAUCAAUUGCCAUGUCUCCAGUCGUGAUUUUAGCAACGUUUUUAUUCACUGGUACCAAAAGAGGGUCAGUGCAGCUCCCAGGCGUGUUGCCUACAUAUUCUCCAGGUUUUUCCUUGAAAUCCAGUCUGAUGAGGGGAAGUUUACUGUUGAGAAGGAUCCCAGGAAAUCUGUCCGCACCCUGACAGUGAGCAAAGUAAUGCUGCAAGACUCUGCCACCUACUAUUGUGCUACAAGGAACCUGCACAAAGACAUGCUCUACUUUCCAGAUAAGAACCUGAAGUGUUUGACAACACGCAGGAAGACUGCCACCCUACUUUCCCAAAAGCUUUGAAUCAGACUGCACAAACAACCAGAUACAAAAGAUGCUGCUGAGCUUUGCAGAUGCACACUACAGCCAGUACCAGCAAACCUGUUAUUUCAUUUUGCCAAUAAAAAGGGCAUUUUUUGGGCCAGGAUGGAUUGCCUCUGAGUGAGUUUACAAGAUGACAGGUUUGUCUAAAAAGCGGGGUCCUGCUAAAGACAGGCAAAAUCUUUCUAUUCUCACUACCUUUC